AGAGGAAGAAGAGGAAGAAGAAGAAAGUAGUAGUUGAAAUUGUUGUUUUGUAGCAUCUACAACUUAGUCCUGAUGAAAGAGAGCCCAGACUGACGGGCAGCUGGUGUGGGCAGCUCCAUCCCUGAGGCUUUCAGGAAAGAAGCAAGGAUCACAAGAAGCCUACCCAGCUGAACCCAGAAUGGAGGAGAGAGGGUGGAGUAUAACUGGCGGGCAGCCCCACAUUCCCUGGCACAGAAUAAUUCAAGUAGGCUGACAAGGAAAGCCACUCCUUAAUGUCACUCUUCUCUACCCAAAUUCCUUACUUUUACCCUGUUGGCCAGAACCCACUUUCACUUCCAUACUUACCUGCCCUCCUUCCUUUCCUGAAACCCCUUCUUCAGGCCAGUUAUGGUCUCUAUUUUCCCUAGGCUCAUCACGGAAUGUCUCAAGAAGAUCAGAUAGUGGGCAUGGGCUCAGCUUUCUGGAGCGCUCUUGCACGACUUCCUGACCUUCUCUCAAUAGAAAUCUGAGCCAUAGAGCUCUACUGAGUAAAGCAGGGGCCAGGAAAAGCCAAGGUCAAAGACCAUCGCAGGUGGCUUCCCUCUAGCCCAGGAACAGUGCCCUCUCCUAAGCUGCAUGGCUGGGCUCAUAAAAUCUCAUCCCCACCCCAGAAGUAAAGAUCCCAAGGUCAGGUUGAGUCAGCUGAGGAUGAGACAGCCCUGCCACCUUAGAUAUGAAGGCCAGCACCCUGGUCCCCUCACGGUGUGCACGACUGGCUGAAUCAGCCUCAGGAGGCCCUCUGUGAGGGCGGUAUCUAAUUUUGUGCUGUGUUGCAUAUUCAGUGUGUGCUUAGUUUUAAUAACAGUAAUGAAAAUAAAUAGAACCCAGGUCCCCCAGUGCUUGAUCCAGCCCUCUUUUCACCAGAUGGGCUCCUUCUGUCUUGCCUAUAAAAAAUGUCACUAAAAAUAUCUCUCUUUUGAGUCUCUACCUUGCUCCGUAGGAGGUGACCACAUUAGGACAGCCAAGAGGCAAUGUCGUAGCUCAGCCAAUGGCCAGCAUCCUCCCGUGAAGGCUGAGCCUCUUGGGCAUUUUUUGCCUGCCUGUGGGGCACAGUGAGAAGCUGGAAAAUACCUCCCAGGCAUCAAAUGCUAUGAGAUGCUGAGCUCAGAGAGAGCUGUAGCAAAUCCUGGGGCAGAGUGACUCCUCACAAACACCUUCUCCUACAAAAGAGGACACCUACAGUCCCAUCUCACAAGAUGCAUCUCCUGCAGUCUCUGUGGUGAGAAUCCAGGUCCAGGAGGUGUUGCAGCUCCACGCUCACUCAUUCAUCAAAGAACACUUGCCAUGUGCCCCCAGUGUGCUGGGCAUGGCCAACUGGGCAUGAGAGGUGAAACCCAAGGAAACACCUGACAGGGAGCCCUGAGACCUUCAACACCUGGCCACGCUGAAGUGCUGGGAGCAGGCACCGGAGAAGAGCUGGGAGAGCCAAGAGAAGAUCAGAGUGUAUCUGCUAAAAAGGUGGGCCCCAUCCAAUCAGUUGAAGUCCUGACUGGAACAAAAGACUGACCUCCCUUGAGAAAGUGGGAAUUCUGCCAGCAGACAGCCUUCAGACUUGAACUGCAAUGUUGCCUCCUCCCUGGGUCUCCAGCCUGCCAGCCAACCCUGCAGAUUUUCGACUUGCCAGCCUCCAUAAUCGUAUGACCACUUCUUUAAAAUGAAUCUCUCUCUCUCUCUGUUUCUGGACAUACACACACACACACACACACACACACACACACACACACACACACACAGACGCACACACGCACACAACCCUUGUUUCUAUUUCUUUGGAGAAUCCUUACUAACGCGGUUUCCCAUCUUGGCUCCUUAAUGCCUGCACAAGUCUGGCGAGGGAGUAGAGGGAGAGGAGUGGGAGAGCUCGUCUGAGCUCUGAGGAGCAAUGAAUAGACAUGUCAGGAGUGAGCAGUUAGGCAAAGCCAGGGGCCACAGUGAUGAUGACAGGCAGGAGCCAAAAGCCAAGCAAG
rnacentral:lncRNA from 1 species